GACGAACGCUGGCGGCGUGCUUAACACAUGCAAGUCGAACGGAAAGGCCCCUUUGGGGGUGCUCGAGUGGCGAACGGGUGCGUAACACGUGAGUAACCUGCCCUUGACUUCGGGAUAACUUCAGGAAACUGGGGCUAAUACCGGCUAGGAAUCCUUGCUGCAUGGUGGGGGUUGGAAAGCUUCGGCGGUUUUGGAUGGACUCGCGGCUUAUCAGCUUGUUGGUGGGGUAGUGGCUUACCAAGGCUUUGACGGGUAGCCGGCCUGAGAGGGCGACCGGCCACAGUGGGACUGAGAUACGGCCCAGACGCCGACGGGAGGCAGCAGUGGGGAAUAUUGCACAAUGGGCGGAAGCCUGAUGCAGCAACGCCGCGUGCGGGAUGACGGCCUUCGGGUUGGAAACCGCUUUCAGCAGGGGCGAAGCUUGUGGUGACGGUACCUGCAGAAGAAGCACCGGCUAACUACGUG
rnacentral:rRNA from 1 species